GUGCUGGCUUCGGCAGCACAUCUACUAAAAUCAGAAGGACAGAGAGAUUAGCGCAGCCCCUGUGCAAGGAUGACUUGCAAACUUGUGAAACGUUUCAUAUUUUU
rnacentral:snRNA from 1 species